rnacentral:rRNA from 1 species
UUAAACGUCCAUACCACGUUGAAUAAUACACCGGUUCUCGUCCGAUCACCGAAGUUAAGCAUCGUCGGGCGCGGUCAGUACUUAGAUGGGUGACCGCCUGGGAACACCGCGUGACAUUGGUU